rnacentral:lncRNA from 7 species
GUUGCGUCUAGAAGGAGAAGAGAAACCCUCAUCGCCAUUAGCGCUCGACGGUGUAGGGGAGAGAGAAGAAAGGGAGAGGCCGCAGUAGUCCGGAGCGGACACUAGAGCAGAGGUGCACGCGGGCAGGGCUGGACGGGUCUCGGUGACCUUUGGUACCGCACAGGGGAGAAUUCGGUCGGGGCAUCACCACACGCCGCCAUUGAACUGCACACUUCACUAGCAAUGUCGUCGGCGUGUUCACUCCAUCGGCG